rnacentral:precursor_RNA from 9 species
UUGACGAGUUGGGCAAACUCUAAAGGCCGAUGAGGUAGUUUAUAAAGCUGCGAGUGUGUUUUCCUUCGCAGAUUUUAGGCUAUCUCGACAGCCUUGAUCAAUGCCUUCCCCACUCCUCU